rnacentral:lncRNA from 1 species
AGAAGCCCUUCAGGAUCUGUCUCUCUGAUUGUUUGUGUAGACGGGGACGUGCGCGUGCGCGUCAUUCAUGCUCUUUCGCUUUCGAAACCAUCAAGGCGCGUCAAGGAGGAGUAACCCCAGAGUGCAGUCUGGACGAUGGGGCGGGGUGACACUUCGACACGUGUCGCCCCGCCCAUAUUUUUUUUCCCCGCCUUUGACAUUUUCCUCCGAGCCAGCAGGGGGCAGUUUGCGUUGAAACAAACAGAACGGUGGCAACUACAGCAGCAGAGUAAUAACGCUAUUCCGUUGAUUGCUUGAGGUGAGUAAAAGUGGUUGUGUAAAUAUCUUAUAAUAUUAAAUGCGAUGUUCGAUCAUUUAUUUAUCCAUGGCACGUUCAAUUUGAAUAAUUAUUGUUAAUAAUUGUUAUAAAUUGCUCAUUUUAUUGUUCUUUGUGGAUUGUAACAGUACACUCUGUACAUGGCUUUAGUUCAUAGGUUCGAUUUUACAGAGGUAUGGCAUCACAUUUGUCAAGUUAUUUGAACAGACAUGCAUGAUUUUUGUGUGUAUAUUAUUAUUAUUAUUAUUAUUAUUAUUAUUAUUCAGGAUGACAUGAUCAGGAGGUGGUGGUGUUCUGUUCUCCUGGACAGCUUUACUCCGCAAAUAGCUCAACCACUGAGGGGAGGAACUUCACCAUUCACCAUGUCUUCAGGCAGAGUCCAGCAAAGCAGCUUCCACUGGAAAUCCUCAGGGAAGUUAUUUUGUCGGCGGGUGACUCUGCAUAUUUGACUCUUUCUCUGGUUUGCAGAUGGUUUAGGGAUGUGCUCCGAAGUUUUUUGGAAAGCGGCACAGUUUGCCUGGCUAGAGAGUAAGAUUUCCCUGUUUAAUGCUCAUUCUCAAAUUUAAUUUUGUAGUAGAAGGCUGUUAAACUUUUUUUGUAUUAUUAUUAUUAUCUUUCAUUUAUUUUGUCUUUACACUAUAAGUUGUGGCCAACUGGAAGAAUUGUCCUCCUGUCUCCUGACCGGAACGAGUUCAGACGGAUGUACAGCAUCAGGGAAUGCUUGCAGUGCAGAGCCCUUUUCAAGUUUAACUCCCCAGGGUACAGAGAAGAGACCGGCGCAGUGAUCUUCUGGGCUUUUGUUUACACAGGAUUUUGUUCCAAGGACUGAAACACAUUUGUGUGUUAAGUUCAUUGAAGGGAAAUAGAGAAUGGGCUGAGAUCAACUGGUUUUGAUUUAUUAAUUGAUGUAAUUUAAAGUUAAACUUUGCACUGU